rnacentral:rRNA from 1 species
AGGACGAACGCUGGCGGCGUGCUUAACACAUGCAAGUCGAGCGGUAAGGCCUUUCGGGGUACACGAGCGGCGAACGGGUGAGUAACACGCGGGUGAUCUGCCCUGCACUUCGGGAUAAGCCUGGGAAACUGGGUCUAAUACCGGAUAUGACCUCCUAUCGCAUGGUGGGUGGUGGAAAGAUUUAUCGGUGCAGGAUGGGCCCGCGGCCUAUCAGCUUGUUGGUGGGGUAAUGGCCUACCAAGGCGACGACGGGUAGCCGACCUGAGAGGGUGACCGGCCACACUGGGACUGAGACACGGCCCAGACUCCUACGGGAGGCAGCAGUGGGAAUAUUGCACAAUGGGCGAAAGCCUGAUGCAGCGACGCCGCGUGAGGAUGACGGCCUUCGGGUUGUAAACCUCUUUCAGCAGGACGAAGCGCAAGUGACGGUACCUGCAGAAGAAGCACCGGCAACUACGUGCAGCAGCCG